GUGUUUGUGCUGACAAGAUUGACUUAAUCAAGAAGUUUCACUUAUCCAAUGAUUAUGAAAUUUGCACAGACUUUGCUAUCAUAUGCAUAGAGCAAGUACACUGAAUUUCAAGCCAAUCCAAAUAGAUUUGAUCACUCAAACAUGGCUAUGAGCGCAGCCAUGUCAGAUUUUUAAUAUUGGCCAGAUUUCAGUAUAUUGAGUUAUUCUUCUUCAAGUUGAAUCAAAUCUGAAAUGAACUACUUUCAAAAGACAAAUAUCCAUUCAAACCACUUACUAAAUGAAGUCUCUUGAAUUUAUUCAACAUAAAUCAAUCCAAGCUUGAUUAUUUAGCAAAUUGUCCAUUCAAUCAUCUUAUAGCAAGCAACAUAUGCAUAUAUAUCCAAUUCAAUCAACUCAUAUGCAUUCAAAUGAAUUUGAUCAACAAUUAUUAUACUUU
rnacentral:lncRNA from 1 species